rnacentral:rRNA from 1 species
UACGUAGGGUGCAAGCGUUGUCCGGAAUUAUUGGGCGUAAAGAGCUCGUAGGCGGUUUGUCGCGUCUGCUGUGAAAACUGGGGGCUCAACCCCGAGCCUGCAGUGGAUACGGGCUAGCUAGAGUGCGGUAGGGGAGACUGGAAUUCCUGGUGUAGCGGUGAAAUGCGCAGAUAUCAGGAGGAACACCGGUGGCGAAGGCGGGUCUCUGGACCGAUACUGACGCUGAGGAGCGAAAGCGUGGGGAGCGAACAGG